rnacentral:rRNA from 1 species
AUAUUGGCGAGAGACCGAUAGCGAACAAGUACCGUGAGGGAAAGAUGAAAAGCACUUUGGAAAGAGAGUAAAACAGUACGUGAAAUUGUUGAAAGGGAAACGCUUGAAGUCAGUCGCGUCUGCCGGAACUCAGCCUUGCUUCUGCUUGGUGCACUUUCCGGUAUGACGGGCCAGCAUCGGUUUCGAGCGGCGGACACUGGCUUGGGGAAGGUGGCGACUCCGGUCGUGUUAUAGCCCCUUGUCGCGAACGUCGCCCGGGACCGAGGAAUCCGGCGCAAGCCUGGGAUGCUGGCGUAAUGGCUUUAAACGACCCGUCUUGAAA